rnacentral:rRNA from 1 species
AGAGUUUGAUCAUGGCUCAGGAUGAACGCUGGCGGCGUGCUUAACACAUGCAAGUCGAACGAUGAUCCCCAGCUUGCUGGGGGGAUUAGUGGCGAACGGGUGAGUAACACGUGAGUAACCUGCCCUUGACUCUGGGAUAAGCCUGGGAAACUGGGUCUAAUACCGGAUAUGACUCCUCAUCGCAUGGUGGGGGGUGGAAAGCUUUUGCGGUUUUGGAUGGACUCGCGGCCUAUCAGCUUGUUGGUGAGGUAAUGGCUCACCAAGGCGACGACGGGUAGCCGGCCUGAGAGGGUGACCGGCCACACUGGGACUGAGACACGGCCCAGACUCCUACGGGAGGCAGCAGUGGGGAAUAUUGCACAAUGGGCGAAAGCCUGAUGCAGCGACGCCGCGUGAGGGAUGACGGCCUUCGGGUUGUAAACCUCUUUCAGUAGGGAAGAAGCGAAAGUGACGGUACCUGCAGAAGAAGCGCCGGCUAACUACGUGCCAGCAGCCGCGGUAAUACGUAGGGCGCAAGCGUUAUCCGGAAUUAUUGGGCGUAAAGAUCUCGUAGGCGGUUUGUCGCGUCUGCCGUGAAAGUCCGGGGCUCAACUCCGGAUCUGCGGUGGGUACGGGCAGGCUAGAGUGAUGUAGGGGAGACUGGAAUUCCUGGUGUAGCGGUGAAAUGCGCAGAUAUCAGGAGGAACACCGAUGGCGAAGGCAGGUCUCUGGGCAUUAACUGACGCUGAGGAGCGAAAACAUGGGGAGCGAACAGGAUUAGAUACCCUGGUAGUCCAUGCCGU